GUUUCUCGUGCUUUUGGAGACAAGAGCCUUAAAUCACAUCUGCGAUCUGACCCUGACAUGCAAGAAACUAUCAUAGAUAACAAUAUAGAUACCUUAAUCCUUGCAAGUGACGGCCUUUGGAAGGUGCUUACAAAUCAAGAGGCUGUUGAUAUUGCAAGAAAGAUUAAAGACCCACUGAAAGCAGCAAAGCAGUUAACAGCUGAGGCAUUGAAAAGAGACAGUAAAGAUGAUAUAUCUUGUGUUGUUGUUAGGUUUAGGGGGUAAAGCUUAUUGAACACUAUCUUUCUCGUGGUGCUGCGUGUAUACCUACUAUGAGAGUUCCUUUACACAGGUUGCCAGUUUGUGGAUUAGACAAACGACAAUUACAUACUUGGUUGGGGUCAUUGAGAGUUCUACGGUGGUUUGUAAUUGCCAAAGAGAGGGAAGGACAAAAGAGUUCCCCAGCCUUUGUAAAUUUAUUUUAUUGCUUAGAUUUCUGAUUCAAUUUCAUAAUGAAAUCAAACAAUUUCAAACACCAGAACC
rnacentral:misc_RNA from 1 species